rnacentral:lncRNA from 1 species
AUGUCUUUGAACUUGCGAUGAUCAAACAAAGGAAACAGACAGGUUGUAACUCACAUUAUCACAAGAAGAUCACGAAGAUGGAAAUGGGAACCCCUCAGAAUGGAAACUUUGAAUAGAGGAAAAAAGAAAAACGACCUUAUUCACAGAAGAAGAGUGACUUAAAUCUUCAUCAGUAUCCAGACAUUUUGCAAUCAUAGAGUAGAGAAAUUUUAACAGGAACAGCAGAGAAAAUAUUAUGAAUAUGCUAUAGACCAAUAUACUUGUUCAUAGCUAACGUUUGAUGGUUUAAGGAUUUGUUCUAGGAAUAAUGGGCUGAUUACUUUCUUUUUAUUUUAAAUUUUUUUUAAUCCAAUGAAUGAUAUUCAGCUGUUAAUUAUGUGUUCAUAGGGAAGAAUAUUUUCUAAGUACUUUCCUUGCCUUCUAACUUUCCGAAAAGCAAACCCAAUGAACAAAUAGAGCACAAACUAAAAUAAAAGAACAGCAAUGAUGACAAUAAAUAAUUGGCAAAGAAAAAAAGGAAAAAGUAUGCACGUUUUCAAGGAAUUAUAAAAUAUGAAGGCUUUUAAUGAAACUUUAUCAUAAAAAGUAUGCAAGGAAUUAUAAAAUUUUAGAAAACAAGGGGAGCUCUCAAAAAAAAUGAAAAACUCAAAUUAAACUAGACUAAAAGACAUUCAAUUUUGCAAAAUCUGUCCAUAAAUGUCUGAAAGGAUCAUUAAAAUUGCAUUGCAAAUUUAACAGUAAACCGAGGGACCCAUUCUAAAUAAUUCAGAUGAAAUUGUGAAACAAGACAUGGGAUUAAAUAAAUGAAAUAAAAAUUAAUUACCAGUUGAGACUUUCUUCUAAAAAUUCGCAACUCCAAGUCAUAAGAAGCCUAUGAAAUUAGUCGUACUGCGUAGAGUAUGACGACGACACCGCCAACAGCUGAAAGUAAAAUUCUUAUUCAUCAAUUUAAACUUACUUUAUAACAAAUAUCUUAUCUAUAUUGUAUUUAAGAAAGCAAAUUUUGUAAAAAUUUAUCAUGGGAGAUAGAGAGUAAUAUGUAUAUACGUACCUUCUCAGCAUGUAAUUGUUGUAUGGUUGUGUUUAGAUCAUUAUUAGCCCAGCGCCGUUGAUCCGCUGUCUCUCCAUAGCAGACGUUUACUCUUAGAGGCGUGAUUGAUUCUCCUGUAGUGAAAAUCUUCAUCUUGGGACAACCAAUCACAUCCAGAUAUUCCAAAGAUGGGAAUUUGAAGGUGUAAUUGGCAGAACAGAAACUUGUGAGGCUAUCUAAAUCAAACAGUCCCAACGUCUUCAAUUUGCUAAAAACAAUCUCUUCUUUUUCAACUCCAUCUUUGUCAUUUAUUACCACCUCUGUCAUUGCUCUGCAUCCAUAUAUUUCUAUUGCUAUGAGUCGCACCAGAGUUUUUGCUGUGGAGGAUGUUACCAAGUGUAUCAAUUCCUUGCAACCGAAAGCUACAAGUUUUGUUAGGUUCCCAAAAGAUACCGAUGAUGAUGGCAAUAGAAUUAACAGACUUUGACAAUGAUAUACUUUUAGAAUUUCAAGAUACUGAAAAAUGGGGCCAAGUUUGGAGUCUUGCUUGCACAGCUGCUCCAGAUGAUAGUGCCAGCGCAGCUGUAAUUCUUUUAUCAUUGCCAACUUCCCCACAUGUUUCUCUAAGCAUCCUUCCAUCGAAAAUACCUCUUCGUGGGAUGAAAAAAACAACAGUGUGAGUAUUUCGAGAUUGUGAAAUCUCUCCAGUACGUUCCAGAUUGUAAAACCAGCUGAGUCAUCUGCAGCAAUCUCUAGUUCUCUAAGACUGCCAAAAAGGUGUUGUGGGAAAUCGGCCUGCAAAAUCAUCUUCACAUCUUUUCCACUUAGUGAUAGUUCCUUCAAGUUGGGUACGAUCUGAUCAUCAUCAAUCAUAAUAACUAAUGAGGUCAAUUGAUGAUCUACGGUCACACGCAGUGACUUUAUAGUAUUUGUUUUAUAUUAUAUUUUUAAAAAAAAUUGAAUUAUUGAUAAAAUUUAUUUUAUAUGUUAAUUUUAGAGGUAAAAAAGAAAUUAGGGAAAAAAGGUUGAUUUAUACUGGCUUGAAAUUAUUUUAUUGCACAAUAAUAAAUUACUAAUUUAUUUUGUAAGUUCUUCUAUAUGGAAAGACUAAGGAUUCUUUUAUAAAUGCUAUACCUUAAAAAGUUCAUAUAAUUAUUAAUCUACCACAUUGAUCUCUUAAUCUAGACUAGCAAAGAUUAUUGUAUAAUAAAAGUUUUCAAUUUAUUGAGUGUUAAUUUAUCGAUGCUUUGUCAUUUUUUUCGAAGUUAAAAAUACGCUAUUGAUAAAAAAUCUAGAAAAUGGCUUCGUACCUUUUCCAACGGCAAUAGGGGCUGUUGUGCAGGAAUACCAAGUUGAUCAUUCUCAUUAUUCUGCGAUAAAUCUGCAUCGAAUAUCUUUAAUUUGUCACAACGACCCACUAAAAGAAUUUCUAGUGCGGGCCAUUCCGAAGUAUGCAUUCCAGGGUACAAACAUCUAAGUUUUGGUAGACAUUCGAGUCUUAGAGUGGUGAGCUGUGGAAAGACAAAAUAAGGGAUAACUUCAUCUGCUCUGUUUUCAGAAAUGAUCUCCUCUAAAUCCUCACAGAAGCGUAUAUCUAGGUGUCGGAGCUGCUUAAGGCUUCCGAUCAUAGACGCUGAAAAUAUGUAUUUUAAUUUGUGACAACCCCACACAAUCAAUCGUGUUAAACUUUGAAAGUGAGGAAGCACGGCCGCUGGAAUUUGAUUGUAGUGCCAAAUCUUGUCGACAUUAAUUGCAGAUAUCUCCAAAGCCUCCAAGUUAGGCAACGCAACCUAAAAAAAGAAGAAUUUCUCGUUAGAUCCAAUAUCCAUAUGGGAAGCACUUGUUGAAAUUUUCUUCUUUGAUUACAAAUUAAUGCAAGUCUGAAUCAAUUUCCAACUGACAGCUGAGUAUGCAUUCUAAUUCAUACUACUUGUUAAGAGCUCAAUUAGUGAGCGCGUGAGAUUCUUUUUAUCCUUUUUUCCAUUUUCUUUCAAUUCUUUAAAUGAUUUAAUUAUUUUCCACGUAUGACAUCAAAACAGAACGCAUGAUAGAAUAAAGAAAAUGUUAGCCUACGCACCUUCUCGUUGAAAAGCAGAGUUGAAGUAUCCAAAGUGAUUUCGCUGGAGCUAUACGUAGUCGUCGAUUCCUCCUGCGACGCUGGUCUGUUUGGUGAUGCUGAAGGAGUCUUCACGUCACGGCAAAAACUUGUAAACUCUGGAAGAUUCCCCAGACUCAAAGAUCUUAAUUGAGCAAACUCUAUCUUCUCAAUUGCAUUAUCAACUUCAUCCCCAAUUGAAAAAAUUUCUUUCAUCUUGCUGCAAUUAAUAACUGCAAUUCUCUCAAGUCUUGGAAGGCAUUUUGUUGUAGAGAGCCAAAAGAUAUUACUCAAUUUAUCACAAUUAUAUGCUUGUAUGAUUUUGAGUUCGUUGAAGGACUCUACUUUGAGCCGAUCAAUACAUAUCCUCUCCAUGUUGAUCAAAUUGUGAAGGCCAAGUGACUCCAAAAGAGGAAAGGCAUCACAAGCGACCAUCGCCCUUGAAUCGACGAUACAAAAGAUGUCAGGAUUAUUUUGAACCCAGAGAAGCUUCAAUUGUGAAAAGCCCUCUGUGUCCAAAUUGAAAAGAACAUUCUCGAUGCCUUGCAGCUUGUCCAACCAUAAGCAUUCUACGUUAUUGAUGCCCUGCAAUUUCAUGGAGCAAAUGUCCAUAAAAGCAAGCUUGAGCUUCAAUGCUCUUAAACUCUUGCGAUCACUUUUGCGAGAAAAGCGCCGCAGACUUUGGAACCAAUUUUGUUCAGCAAUCAUGGGAUGUGUGAAUAACCCAUUUCCAAUAGAUAUUUUGAACCUUUCGAGCUUUCUGGCCAAAAAACCUUCUGGUAACAUACUGUCAUUUUUAACAUCAAUUUCUAGAGUGGUUAGCCGAGGUAAAUGCAUCAAUUCAUCAAGGCUAGCAUUACUUCUUUUGCUGUUGGCUCUUUCAACCUCCCAUUCAAUGGAGCAAUUACCCAUAUACAGCUCUUCUAAUCGGAUUAAGCUUGAUAUGACAUUUGGGGCAAUAACUUUCAGACGGAAACAAUUGGUUAAAUCUAACAAUCUCAACUUAUUCAAUUGACCUAGUUCUUCUGGCAACUGCGUUAUAUCAGACUUCAAAAAGCUAAGGACUUCUAGAUUCUUCAACUUCCCAAUGAUUGCUAUGUCGCCCAACGCACUUUUAUCCAGACAUAGUGUGUGAAGAUUUACUAGAAGAUCAAUUGAAGAUGGAAAAGAAGAAAACUGCAUUCGAGUAAAAUCUAGAAUUCUAAGCUUUUUCAUCCCUACAAAAAAGUUCUCAGGAAUAUUGAUUUCAAGAGAAAAAUCUUUGAGAGAGAUAUAUAAAAAUUCAAGGUUUGGGCAUUCUAAUCCUUCAGGAAAUUCACGAUUACUAUUUUUUAUUAAAGAGAUAGCUUUGCAAUUUCGAAGUGCAUCCUUAUCUGGCCAGUCCCACACAUCCUCAUUCCUCACCGAAAACACAUGUUGCUGGCGGCAUGCAAUUGAUAUCGCGACAUCGCGAACAACAUCAUGCAUUGACAAUUGUUCAUUGCUCUCACCCUCAAGCAACAAACAAGAGUCUCUAAGUUCAUGGACCAAUGCAUAUAAUUUGUCUCGUGCAUCUUCCAUCUUAUUGACUCCUUUAAAUAUACCCAAACCCAUGGAGUACUUAAACAAGUCGAAAGUAAAAAUACGGUUACCCAUUAGACUGCAGAGCUGAAAAAUUUCCUUGCGUUCACCUUUUAAUUGGUUGAAACUCAGCUCAAUACUUGCAUAAGUCUCUGCAGAUACUCCUUCGAAGUUUACCAUUGAAGGCGUUCGGAGUUCUCGCAAGGAAUUCUUCCAUUCAUGCAGACUCUUGCCUCUCAGUGCCUUUGCUACUGUAGUCAAGGCAAUGGGCAAACCUCCACAUGCCCUGGCGACGUCUAUUGCUGUAGAUUUCAACUCACGAUUUUCAACAUCAUCACCGGCCAUCAUCUUAAACAAUCUCCAGGCUUCUUCUUCAUUUAAAUUGUUUAUCAAAAAGUUGUCUUUAGAACCCAUUUUUAAGAGGACACUACGAUCUCUUGCUGUCAGCAGUAGUUUGCAUCCUUUAUGAUCUUCUGCAAAAGGAAUUCCAACAGUCUCCAAAUUAAGGUGUUUCCAGAUGUUAUCUAAAACCACAAGGAUCUUCUUCUCAUUUCUCAAUCGCUCAAAUAGUCUACUUGCUCUUCCAGAUUCAACUUCCUCGCGCAACUCCAGGCCCAACUUCUCGGCAAUUUCCUGUUGAAUCUUUUUUAUGUCUGGAGUUUGCGAAACCUCUGAAAAGACCACCAUAUCAAAGAGCUUGGCUUCCAUAGCUUGCCUGGAGACCUCCUUCACCAGUGUCGUCUUUCCAAUGCCGCCCAUGCCGUACACCCCAAUGAUGCUAACAUCGAUCAAUGCUUUUUUUAUAGCCUCCAAAGUAGAACGUCUUGAUUCGAAGGCCUCGUAGCCUAUGUGAGACUUGAGCCAAAUCUCCUCCGGAAUGGUACGGUGGGAAACAAUAUCAAACUUCUUUACUUCUUCUCCAAGUUCAACAAGGGCCUUCAUUUCUGUCUCUGCUUUCUUGCUAAGCUGAUAGCGGGUCUUCAAAUUAGGACACAAGCCCUUGAGACAACGCUUAUUCGUUGACUCCUCAUUUUCAAUGAAUUUGGCUGCCCUGUCAAUGAUGUCGUUCGCACUAACCAGCCACUUUUCAACCUUCUCUUCAAUCUUUUCUCCUUUUCUUUCAGCCUCAGAAACUCUGUGCUGAAUGCUCCUACUUUCAUCCUUGAGUUCAUCAAAUUUUGCCCUGAGAUUCUCAAAGUUGGUUUUAUAGUUACGUAAAUAACCAAGUUGGCGUUCUGCUAGAGGAGCCAAGCAUUUCACAACUUCCAAAACAACAGUAAUAAUGGUUUCCACCAUCUUUGAUCCUUCUAUUUUUUUUUUUUUUUUGAGUUCUGAAAAGCAAAUAAACAAGAGCCAACCACAGAAGAGAAAAAAGAAGAAACAACAAAGAUGGACAGUUUAUCUGGUUGUGGAAGCGGAGAAAUGAAAGAAAGCGUAACAACUGAUUGAAUAAAUAUAAGGAGGGAUUUAGAUAAUAAAGGAGAAAGGAACCAAUCAAAAUAACUUAAGUAUAGACCAAAAGAAAGAUGAAAAAUAUAUUAUAGACCACAACCGAAUGAACAAAAGAAGAUGUCUUGACACAGCAGAAGUGCAGAGAGUAGAUAUGGAACAAAACAGAGACAACAGCAGGACACAACUAAAUUGGGAGCGGAGAGAAACUAAUCAACAAGGACUGAGAGAUUACAACAAAACAGAUGCCAAGAGAAAAGGGUUUCCUGAUCCUGUGAAGCUCAAGAGAGUUAACGGCAAUAGGGAGCAAACAUUAAUAACAAAACAACAGUGACUACAACGAACGAACGCAUAUGUUUUUCUUGAUUGAGAAUAAGUUCAAAGAAUGACUUUUUAAUGAGGUGCUGAAGCUGAAGAAUAACGAUUUGCUAAAAUUUUAAGAAUGCUAUAUAUUCUGUAAAUUCAACAAGUGAAGAAUAAAGAAUAAUGGUUUGUCAUCUUCACGAUGAAGAUCAUGGGCGAGAUUAAAAGCAAAAGUGAAGAAUAAAGAAUAAUGGUUUGUCAUCUUCAUGAUGAAGAUCAUGGGCGAGAUUAAAAGCAAAAGUGACCUAUUUGAAAAGCCAAAGUUCAAGUUCCUUUGCUAAGCUUAGAAGUGAAGCAAAGAAUAAAUAAAUAAAUGAGUAAUGAUCAAGGGAUCGGAAUGAAGUGUUAGAGUACAAUUUAUGCACUAGUUUUGCAUUAUUUACUUCUUUUAAUAUCGAUGUUUUGCACUUAAUAAUAGUGAUUUACUUGUGUUUUAUUUUGGUAGGUGCAAUUUUAUUGAUUGGUGCUAAAAUUGAGCUACAAGAUGAUGUUUGAGGAUGAUUGUUUUCUUGAAGAAAUUAUGAGCUUCAGAAGAACUUUGUUGAUAAGGUGUGGGCGCAUGCUGUCAACUACGGACCUGCAGUUUUUAGUUUAACGUGUUUUGUAUUUUUAGUUAUUUUUGUAAUUACGCAUUUAAUAUUUAGAUAAUAUUUUAGAAAUUAGUAUUUUAUUUUAAAAAGAACUCUAGAGGAGAAGAGAGAGAAGAGAAUUUAAGGGAGGAAUCUAUUGUCAAAGACGGGAGAUUUUUGAAGAGAAAGAAACCCUAGAUCUAAAUUUUUCUCUCCUGUCUAUGAAGAACUAAAUCUAUUAUUCUGGUUGAAGGUUAAUGAACUUUGAUUCAUCACUGCUGUGAGAUCUUUCUUAUACUUUAAUUAUUUUAUUACUUUUUGGGUAUUUGUUUAUUCUCUGAAUUAUUGUCAUGAUUAUGUUUGUUAAUUAGAUAAUUGGCUACUAUUUAAUUAUCAACUUAAUCUAUUGUCAAUUAAAAGAUUUAUCGUAUGAAGAUUUUAAUGUUUGUGACAAAUAGCAUAGCAGUGCAUUGUGUUAUGAGAAUAAACAAUCUAAUUUAAAUGAAUCAUCGUAUGCGUUUGUUGAUUAGGAUUUGGGUCUCUCUGAUUUUUCAGACUGUCAAUUGAUUAAAUCCUAUGAUCGUAUCUAGGGUUGUCUAUUGAUUAGGAAAAUAACCAACAAUCGUACCUUAAAACUAAUGUGGAUCGAGCAAUUGAACAGUUGCAAACUCAAUGGAAAUACAAUGGAACCUUAAAAACGAACAGUGAAGGAAAAUGAAGAAAUCUGCAGGAAAUAAGGCGAGUGAGAGUGAAGAAUUAAUUACCACCGAGUAAAUGCGAAUGAAGAAUGGAGACAGAUCGAGAAGUGAGAUUCAGAGAUUGUAUUCAAAUUGAGAGUUGAGAUCAAGAAGCGAUUAUUCUUCUCCGUAAUUUCCUUUUUCUUUUAAUGUUGUUAUUAUUAUUAUUAUUUAUUUUUUUUCAAUUUCAUGAUAUCUUUUUUGUUUUAAACGGUAUUGGCAUAUUACAUUUAUUUAUGUUAAUUUUACAAUACCUCCCUUCAGAUUGCACAAAUUACAUAAAAAAAAAAAGUGCUUUAUGUAUAAAACUUUCAAACAAAUUGGGCCAAAAUCUAACUUUACCAAGUUUAAAGUAAUUUUGGGCUCGACAUUCCAUUUCCGACAAACGAAUUUUCUUUAUCACCGAGGUAUGAUACUUUUCAUAUUUAUCCAACGGCUCAUCAAUGACAAUACCUUUGUAAAAAGUACUUAUUUUCAAUAGUAUAUUGUGGAAAUGUCUGGUCGGUAAUACAACUAUUUCUUAUAGUGCAAAAAUGAUACACUAAUCGUUCACAUUUUGAUGGGUAAUUUAAGGAUUUCAAGAUGAAGUACAUAAUUAGAUUAAUGCUAAGAAACUGAAGUUUGAUCGAUUGAAAACGAAAAUAAUAAUGAAGGUAAUUAAGAAAAUGAACAAUAUAUGCAGAAGCGGUCCUUAUUAGGACUUCUAGAUUUUCUCUUGGGCUUUCCUUAUUAUUGUUAAAAAAUGACAGGAAGAACUUUGAGUUUAAAAAUCUGGCCCUGAUGCCUGGUAGCCCUCCAACAUAUGAAGCACUAGAUGUUUUGAUGAGAAAAUGACAAGACCAUUUAUCAAAUUUCUUGUGGAUAUAAAUACAUACACAUAGACGAGACCAACCUCCUCAAAUGAGAAUCAGAGUGAUUACAAGACCUUGCAAUGAGACAAUGAUACACCAUCAAAUGUCACAAUACAAUAGAAAUUCACGACAUAAAUAUAAUAAAAGACCUCUCAUUGAGUCAUAUAUAUAUUGAGAAUAAAAAUGUUAUAAUACAUACAAAGAGCUUAGCUAGAAUAAAAUGUCUUUGAACUUGCAAUGAUCAAACAAAGGAAACAGACAGGUUGUAACUCACACUAUCACAAGAAGAUCACGAAGAUGGAAAUGGGAACUGCUCAGAAUGGAAACUUUGAAUAGAAGAAAAAAGAAAAACGACCUUAUUCAUAGAAGAAGAGUGACUUAAAUCUUCAUCAGUAUCCAGAUAUUCUGCGAUCAUUGAGUAGAGAAAUUUUAACAGGAACAGCAGAGAAAAUAUUAUGAAUAUGCUAUAGACCAAUAUACUUGUUCAUAGCUAACGUUUGAUGGUUUAAGGAUUUGUUCUAGGAAUAAUGGGCUGAUUACUUUUUUUUUAUUUUAAUUUUUUUUAAUCCAAUGAAUGAUAUUCAGCUGUUAAUUAUGUGUUCAUAGGGAAGAACAUUUUCUAAGUACUUUCCUUGCCUUCUAACUUUCCGAAAAGCAAACCCAAUGAACAAACAGAGCACAAACUAAAAUAAAAGAACAGCAAUGAUGACAAUAAAUAAUUGGCAAGAAAAAAAAGGAAAAAGUAUGCAAGUUUUCAAGGAAUUAUAAAAUAUGAAGGCUUUUAAUGAAAUUUUAUCCUAAAAAGUAUGCAAGGAAUUAUAAAAUUUUAGAAAACAUGGGGAGCUCUAAAAAAAAAAGAAAAACUCAAAUUAAACUAGACUAAAAGACAUUCAAUUUUGCAAAAUCUGUCCAUAAAAGUCUGAAAGGAUCAUUAAAAUUGCAUUGCAAAUUUAACAGUAAACCGAGGGACCCAUUCUAAAUAAUUCAGAUGAAAUUGCGAAACAAGCCAUGGGAUUAAAUAAAUGAAAUAAAAAUUAAUUACCAGUUGAGACUUUCUUCUAAAAAUUCGCAACUCCAGGUCAUAAGAAGCCUAUGAAAUUAGUCGUACUACUGCGUAGAGUAUGACGACGACACCGCCAACAGCUUAAAAUAAAAUUCUUAUUCAUCAAAUAUCUUAUCUAUAUUGUAUUUAAGAAAGCAAAUUUUGUAAAAAUUUAUCAUGGGAGAUAGAGAGUAAUAUGUAUAUACGUACCUUCUCAGCAUGUAAUUGUUGUAUGGUUGUGUUUAGAUCAUUAUUAGCCCAGCGCCGUUGAUCCGCUGUCUCUCCAUAGCAGACGUUUACUCGGCGUGAUUGAUUCUCCUGUAGUGAAAAUCUUCAUCUUGGGACAACCAAUCACACAUAACUCUUGCAAAGAUGGGAAUUUGAUGGUGUAAUUGGUAGAGCAGAAACUUGUGAGGCUAUCUAAAUCACGCAGUUCCAACGUCUUCAAUUUACUGGUGAAGUAGGUCCAUAGCUAAAAUAAAAUUGGAAGAAAAUGAAGAGCAAGCACACAGAGGACACUAAAAAUUACGUGGUUCGACUUUUAACAUACGUCUAUGGGUAAAGACAAAAGGAUAAAACUUUAGUGGUGAAAUGAGGAUUACUAGUAUUAUAAUAUUUUGUUUCACUUCCCAGAACCCCAAUCCACUCAAUCUCUUAAAACACUAAUCACUCAAGAGCAUUAAAACUCUUAGUCUCUCACACUAGAAUUGAAGAAGAAAAGAAUGAAAUGCAGGGGUGAACCCCUCAUUUAUAGUUAAAAUUUUGGGCACUAUUUAUAUAUAUAUAUAUAUAUAUAUAUAUAUAUAUAUAUUAAAUUCAAAGUUUGAACUUGACAUUCAAACUUUGAAUAUCAAAAGGUAUUGGUCGCUCUUCUAGAAAAGCGACAUUGACUUUGAUAUUCUCCCACUUAGAAAUUUGAUUGAGAAUCAAUCAAUCUCCACACCAUCCUUUCUACUUCGCCGCUGUCAUGUUGUUUAUGUCUCUACUAGGCCGUAAAAUGAUCUACUCCAAACAAAUUUAUCAGCAUUGAUAGGCUUGGGCAAAACAUUUGUUAAGUUCUCCUUGGUAUCCACUCUUAUAUCUUUCACUACUUCACGAAGAAGUGAUAUUGUACUCCUAUAUUCUUUGUCCUAAAAUAAAAGGUUGGAUUCCUUGCAUUCUAACUAUCACAAGCCAUAAAAAAUUUUAUGCCCAAGCUCCUUCAGUAACCUUUGUAUCCAAAUAGCUCAUCCAAGCUUGUGUAGCUGCUAUGUAAUCUGCUUCUGUUGUUGAUAAAGCCACAAUGGUCUGCAAUUUUGAAAUCCAACUAACAAUUUCUCAUUCUGGUGCAAAUACUUAGCCAGUAGUGGAUUUCUUUUUAUUAAGAUUUUCUGCAAAAUCUGAAUGCACAUAGCCCUUGACAGUAUCCUUCGUAACAUAAUGCAACAUCUGAUGUUCCUAUGAUAUAUCUCAGAAUCCUCUUAAUAGUCUUCCAAUGUUCUUUGCAAGGAUUCGCUAUGUAUCGACUAACCUCUCCCACUACUUGUACAAAUCAUAGCGAACCUUAAAUUUUCCACUGCUGAUGCAUACAGUACUCAAGACAUCUCUUCUUCUCUACUUCAUUACUAGAUGAAUACUUAAGAAUAACUUGAAAUUAAUGGGAGGCGGGGUAGAAAGCCAAAUCUUUUUGCUAUUACUAUCUCGGUGAAUUUGCAUCCCUAAAAUCUUGUUUGCUGGUUCUAAGUCUUUUAUUUCAAACUCCCUAGUUAACUGUGCUUUAGUUCUUGGACUCGAUCUUUGUUGGGGCCUGCUACUAAUAUGUCAUCAACAUACCACAGUAGAAUGAUGAAAUUAUUAUUAUCAAACUUGUUGUAAUAUGUACAACAGUCUGAACUGAUUCUAUUGUAUCCAAGGUUUAUGAUGAAUGGAUCAAAUCUCUUAUAUCAACAUCUCGGUGCAUGUUUGAGAUCGUAUAGAGAUUUGUUUAACUUGCAAACCAAGUGUCCCUUUUUAGUAAAACCUUCUAGUUAGAGCAUAGAAAUCUUUUCUUCAAGUUCUCCAUAAAGAAAUGAAAUUUUCACAUCUAACUGCUCCAAAUAUAGGUCAAAUGUAGCACACAUCGACAAGACCACUCUGACUGUCCUGAGUCAAAUCACUGGAGAAAAUAUCUCAUUGAAGUUAAUACAUUCUUUCUAAGGAUAUUCUUCCAUCACCAAUCUUUCAUGAUACCGCUCCACUAGGUUAUUACCAUCACGUUUGAUCUUAUGGACCCAUUUCCAACCAAUGGGUCUUUUUUUUUUCAUAUAGUAGUAGUACGAGUUCCUAUGUCAUAUUCUUGUGUAGAGCCUUAAUUUCUUCCUGCAUUGCUAUCAUUCACAAAGUAACAUCUGAGCUGUUUAAGGUUUCAUGAAAAGUUGAUGGCUUUCCAUUCUCUAUUAAAAGACAGUAUGCAAAAUUGAUAUCUGUGACAUAAUCCAAAUGCCACACUGACAAUUAUCUAUCACGAGUUGACCAACAAACUUUUGGGGCCUCAGACUCGAUUGGUUCUUGUUCUCAUACUUUGGUGCUGUUUCAAAAAAAUCUAAAUCUUCAUUUUCCAAAUUAUUUUCAACAUAUAUUAGCACAAUCUCUGAAUUUUUAUAGUGCUAUCAUCCAUAUCUCUCUUUUGCAUUUGAUCUUCUACAAAGAUAAUAUCUCUACUGAUAACGAUCUUAUGGGCAUUGAGGUCCCACAGAUAAUACCCUUUCACUCCAUCAAUAUAUCCUAAGAAGAUACAUCUCUUGGAUUUUGGAUCCAUCUUUAAUCUCACUUGGGUAUUGUAUAUCACGUAAAAGGACAUCAAAAUGCCUAAGAUGAGAGUAAUCAACUGGCUUUCCUGUCUAUUUUUUCCAUUGGAAUUUUCAACCCGGUUGCAUUGAAUGAUGACCCACUUACCACAUAAUAAGUAGUUUUUGCUACUUCCACCUAGAAUGAGUUGGUAGACCAGCAUUUCUCAACAUAACUCUUUUUUUUUUUAUAAGAGUCAUGCCCUUUCACUCUACUACUCUAUUUUAUUGAGGAGUGUAUGCCACCGUGAACUAUCUCUAGAUACUUUCUUGCUUACAUAUGCAAGAAACAUGCUAUUUGUAUACUCUCCACCAUUGUCUGUCCUCAGGCACUUGAUCCCUUGCCCUGAUUUAAGUUCAAUCUACGCUUUGAAUUCUUUGAACAAUGGAAAUACAUUUGACCUUUUCUUGAUUGGAUACACCAAAUAUCUCCUAGAAUAAUCAUUAAUAAAAGUCACCAAGUACUUUGCACCUCCCAUAGAUAUAUCAAUUGAUUCCCAAACAUUAGAAUGAAUCAAGUCUAAAAUACAUUUACUUUUGAAAGUGGAUCUGCUAAACUUUCAUCUAUGUUGCUUCCUUGUUUUGACAUGUGGCCAAGUUUAAGAUGCCACAUCAUCACUGAAUUUUCUCUAUUUGAUGUGACUGACACAAAAGCUUUCUGUAGUGUUUCCCUUUAAGCAUGAAUAAAUUAUCACCGAUCUUUUCCACCUUCAUUAAUGCAAGUGCGCCUUUGACUAUCUUUAUGAUCCCAUUUUCUACAUGAGUUUUGCGCGCAAGACUAUCUAUUUGUCCUAAAGACAAGAGAUAUUUUUCAAGUCUUUGACAUGUCUUACCUUCUCAAUUGUGCGAACCAUACCAUUAAACAUAUUUAUUUUGACAGUACCAAUAUCAGUAAUCUCAAAGGCAUAAUCAUCACCUAUGUAUACAAAUUCUCUUGAAAUAGGUUCAUAUUUGUGAAAUCAUUCUCUUGGAGAGAUCAUGUGCCAGGCAACUAUUAAGUCUAUAAGCCAGAUGUCAUAUAGUGGUUUUCUAUCUUCUGAAGCAGUUGUUGCCUUACUGUAAAGAAUUUUGCCAUCAUACGAGGUACUUACUACAUACCCUUGAGCAUUUGAUGACUCAGAAUCUUUACCAUCUCUUCUCUUCUAGUUGUUCCAAAACUCUUCCUUGACAUGCCCUUUCUUGCAACAGUUGUUGCAUUUGACAUUCUUUUUACUUCUAGAUUUUGAUCUACCGUGACUGUGGCUCUCACUAGGGCCACGUUCCAUGGAUCUUCCUUUCAUCACCAAUAGCGCUUCUACUUGUUGCGAACUCUUUUGUCUAUCUUUUUUAUUUUUUGCUACUCUCCUCAUUUAAUACGGAGGCUGCCAUAUUGUCAAAGACUAACUUGUUUGCUCGAUUGUUAUUAGUUAUAUUAAUGACGAAUUGAUCAUACGAAUCUGGUAAACCUUGAAGUAAAAGCUCUAUAUGUUUAUUUUCCUCUAUUUUAUGACCCAACGUUGUAAGUUAUGAAAAUAAAGUCUUUAAAGUGUUGAUAUGGUCGAUCACUGAUGUAGAUUCCUCCAUUCGAAGAGUAUAAAGCCUCAUCUUUAAGAAGAUUUUAUUUUGUAGUGAUUUGACCUCGUAUAGUCUUGUGAGAGUAAACCAUAUUUCCUUUACUCUCUUUUACUCUACCAUAUUGAAAAAUACCCUAUCUGAAAGUGGUAAGUGUAGAUAUGCAAUGGCAUUAUUGUCUAUCUCAUUCCACUUGCCAUCAUUAGUUAUCUUUGUGAGCCUCUCUUCAAUUGCUGCCAAGCAAUUACUUUUCCUCAAUACAACCUUCAUCUUCAUUUUUCAUGACGAAAAAUUAUUUCUGUUGAACUUCUCAAUUUUGUAUUUUUCCGCCAUCACUUUUCACCACGAGCUACCUUGCUAAGAUCGAUCAAACUUUACUAGCGAAAUGAGGAUUAUAAGUAUUUUAGUAUUUUGUUUCACUUCUCAAAACCUUAAUACACCCAAUCUCUCUAAACAUUCUUAAUCCCUCAUUAUAGAACUAAAGAAGAAAAGAAUGGAAUGAAUGAAAUGAGGGGGUGAACCCCUCUAUUUACAGCUAAAAAUUUGGGCACUUUUUAUAUCUAUUAUUACAAUUAUUUAUUUCAAAAUUUAACGUUUGAAACUUGAUAAUCAAACUUUGAAUAUCAAAAGAUAACGGUUCCAAUCUUGACUCUUAGGCUGAUAUUUAGAGCCUUACACAAAGAAAAAUCNNNNNNNNNNNNNNNNNNNNNNNNNNNNNNNNNNNNNNNNNNNNNNNNNNNNNNNNNNNNNNNNNNNNNNNNNNNNNNNNNNNNNNNNNNNNNNNNNNNNGUAAAAUAUAAAAUCAUAUUACACAAAAAAUAUCAAAUUACUAAAGUGAUUAAAAUCAUUCCCAUCAAAUUAAGUCAAUGUCAUCAAAUUAGAAGAUAAUCUUUGAACUAAUUAAGCAAAAGUAAAUCUUCAAAGUUGAACUCAUCCAUAAAUGUCAUAUAGUAUAAACCAUCAAUUAAAUUAUCUUUGUCAAUUUUAAAAUGUUUAUAUUUACUUUAUAUUGGCUGUUAUUUAUAUUAUUUUUAUAAAUGUAUUGUGAUAUUUUUUAUUUACAUCACACUAUUAUAAUUGAAAUUUUAAAUGUAUUUACUAUAAAUUUGAAAUAAAUUAAUUAAAAAUAGAACUAAAGAUAGAAAUAGAAAAAUGUGGAGCCAAAUAAAAUAUUAGGGCAAACACUAAGUUAUAUUUCAUGUAACUUACACCCACACAUAUUAAUUUAUCACAGUCUUGUCUCCACAUAGAAAAAUUAGAUCUAAGAUUAUCAAACUCCCGAAUGAGGAAGAUCCCUCGGGGCCAUCGUCCCUGUGGAAAUUUCUGCAUCCCUGCAGUCUACAACGCCUAAUAAUGAAUUGAACGGUUGAAAUCCCUCUAAAUUUUUGAUAAUUUCUAAUCGCCCCUCCAUAUUUGAUUGAACAUCAAAACUAUUGAGUCCAAAUUUAUAACUUUGAUUUAUCUUCCAUUCCAUAGUUUUCAAGUUCUCUCUCUCUCUCUUUUAAUCCUUUUUACUGCAACCACCAUCAAAGCCUAGUAGUUAAUAUGUAUGCUGCUUUGCUUUCAAAAUCGGACACUACUGGUAUUUAUGGUUUUUAUUCUUUAUUUGACACAAAAUUUGGCGAUAUCUCCGCGGAAAAACACUACUGGUGUAUUCAAUUUUAUCCGGUAAUGAUUAAAUUGAUUAUUACAUGAACCGUAACUUCGCCAAGCCCAAAAUACAUAUUAAGUUAUAAAGCGUGGCACUCAUUAUUUUUCGCAAAAAGUUUCGCCCAAAAUACAUAUAUUUUUUUAAUUUUUUCUGUGAAAAAAACUACUGUUAUAUUCAAUUUUAUCAUUAAAGUUGUUAGUUACAUGAACCUUAAAUUAACACAAACCGUAACUUAGCCAAGCCCAUAAUACAUUAUUUCAUAUUUGUAUGAAAUUUAAAGUUUUUCCACUUUAUAUUUUUCCGCUAAAGUUUCUAAAUUGUAUUNNNNNNNNNNNNNNNNNNNNNNNNNNNNNNNNNNNNNNNNNNNNNNNNNNNNNNNNNNNNNNNNNNNNNNNNNNNNNNNNNNNNNNNNNNNNNNNNNNNNNNNNNNNNNNNNNNNNNNNNNNNNNNNNNNNNNNNNNNNNNNNNNNNNNNNNNNNNNNNNNNNNNNNNNNNNNNNNNNNNNNNNNNNNNNNNNNNNNNNNNNNNNNNNNNNNNNNNNNNNNNNNNNNNNNNNNNNNNNNNNNNNNNNNNNNNNNNNNNNNNNNNNNNNNNNNNNNNNNNNNNNNNNNNNNNNNNNNNNNNNNNNNNNNNNNNNNNNNNNNNNNNNNNNNNNNNNNNNNNNNNNNNNNNNNNNNNNNNNNNNNNNNNNNNNNNNNNNNNNNNNNNNNNNNNNNNNNNNNNNNNNNNNNNNNNNNNNNNNNNNNNNNNNNNNNNNNNNNNNNNNNNNNNNNNNNNNNNNNNNNNNNNNNNNNNNNNNNNNNNNNNNNNNNNNNNNNNNNNNNNNNNNNNNNNNNNNNNNNNNNNNNNNNNNNNNNNNNNNNNNNNNNNNNNNNNNNNNNNNNNNNNNNNNNNNNNNNNNNNNNNNNNNNNNNNNNNNNNNNNNNNNNNNNNNNNNNNNNNNNNNNNNNNNNNNNNNNNNNNNNNNNNNNNNNNNNNNNNNNNNNNNNNNNNNNNNNNNNNNNNNNNNNNNNNNNNNNNNNNNNNNNNNNNNNNNNNNNNNNNNNNNNNNNNNNNNNNNNNNNNNNNNNNNNNNNNNNNNNNNNNNNNNNNNNNNNNNNNNNNNNNNNNNNNNNNNNNNNNNNNNNNNNNNNNNNNNNNNNNNNNNNNNNNNNNNNNNNNNNNNNNNNNNNNNNNNNNNNNNNNNNNNNNNNNNNNNNNNNNGAUACUUCUGAUAUAUUUUAAAAUUUUUAAUGCACCAAAGUUCAUUUUUAGCUUUUAAGGUUUUUAUGUGUGAGCCUCUCAGCACGUUCCCCAACCUCCUCACGUGAAAAUAUUUCUAUGCACGGUUACAAGCUUUUCCAGAUUGUGAGUAUUCCGAAGCAAUCCAACUUGAAAAACAGCUGGUUCGUAGAAAAUGACAGUUUACGAAGCUGGCCCUGCUGCCAUACAUAUGAUGAUGAAGACCAUUUUGCUUUAUGUCAAUUCCUCCAAGUUGAAAUCUUUCUCGGUCUGGGACACUUCCAACACAUAAAGUACUACUAGGCUAGAUGAUUUUAAAAAAUGUCAAGGUCCUUUAUCAAAUUUCAUUUGCAUUCAAGACCAAUCCCCUUUGAUGAAAAUCAAUAAUUAAAGGCUUUCCAAUGAGAAAUUAUUACGUCUUCAAAUCUCAAAAAAUCGCCAGAAUAUUAAUUCGCUACAUAUAAUCAAGAUAUCUCAUUGAGACGCAUUAAUAAAAAAUGUCAAAAUGCAUAGAAAGAGCAGACACACGGAUGAUGAAUUUACUCAUCUUGAUUAGUAUUUGAACUUGAGAGACAGAAUGAAGUACAUGUCAAGAAUAUCAUAGAGAUGGAAACCGGAAGUCCUCCGCACAUAAACUUUGAAGAAACUGGAAAACGACUUUAUUCCAGAUAAUGCACACCAGAGUGACCAAAAUUCUCUUCAGUAACUAUAGAGAAAAUAUUAUUUUGCAUGCAUUUCACGUAACUGGAUCAAACUACUCCCCUGUUGGUUUAUCAGACCACAUUUUUAUGGUGCAAUAUAAACCAUCUUUUCAAAACACUUUUACAAUGUGAGAAAUAUAGGCAUUAAGUUUCAUAAACUAAAAACUCCAAUUGUCCAAAAAAAAAAAAAGGUGAGAAACUCAGUAGAAUUUACAACUUCUCAGACUCACGAAAAGGUGAGAAACAAAUGAUUUUUAUAUAGUUGUUCAUAGCUAACUUUUGAUGGUUUAAUGAUCUGUAGAUUUUGUUUUAUGCUAUUCAAGGAAAGAUAUUCGAUUGUUCCUAAGAGUUCAUAGGCAGGGGCAUAUAUGCAUGAUUUGAUAUAAUUCUCGCAAUUUCUAAGUACUUGCUCUUUCCAUACCUUCUAAGUUUUGAAAGAAAGGUUGAAAUAAACAGAUAAACAGGACAAACAGAAGAAGACUGAAUUAACAGAUCAACAAAGAUGGCAACUAACAAAUGGAAAAGUUCUCUUGUAAUCAAACUAUAGCAAACAGAUGACACCAUUACCAUAUAUCUUAAUGAGUAGAUUGAUUCUAAACAUAUAUGUUAGGAUACAUUUGGUUGUUUAAUAGUUUGAAAUAAGGAGGAUGAGAUGGUUUCCACAUAAAAGUGCUGGCCCUUUCAAUGACAUUUUCAAGGAAUUAUAAAAUUCAAAAUUAAAAAAAAAAACACAUUAUAAAGCCACGACGUCAAAAAAAUAAAUAAAUAAAUAAGUGAAGACCAAACUAAGUCACUAAGACCUUUAAUGAUAUAAAAUCAGCAUAUAAAUCUCAGAACAAAACAUUAAAACUCAUUCUAAAAGUAAAAAUAAACUAGUGGUGUAUUCCAAACAAUUUAGAUGAAGCGAUAAAACAAGCCAAGAAAUCAAAUAAAAUGAAAUGAAAUUGAAUUACCUGGGACUUUGUUUUUCAAAUUCACAACUCGCUUGUAAUUAAAGUAAAACGCCAAUGCCAUUAGGACAUAUACAUCAUUGAAUAAGAUGAGGACCCCUCCAACAGCUGAAAGUAAAAUUUUCAUUCAUUAGUUUCAAUUAAAAGUAAAGCACGCAGAGAUUUGCAGGGAAGCAAGAGAUUUAAUAAAUUUAACAACAGCAAUUUAAUUUGACAGGACUUCCAUACAGUAAUGAAGUUAAAAACUAACGAUUAACGAAAUUUUGUAAUUGAAUGAAUAAGAUUCUCUGAUUUUGGAUAAUUGAAUGAAUAGGAUUCUCUAACUCUUGUGAAAAUAUCAAUUUUAAAUAGGGUAGAGUUUCAAGAAUUAAGCACAUAUGUAUCCCAUCUGCCAGUACGUGAUCAUAAACUUACUUUAUAACAAAUAUCUGAUCUAUUUGGUGCAUUUUAUUUAAAAGAGAAAUUUUAUAAAAUUUUUCCACUGGUGAUAGUGAGUUAUUCGUACCUUCUCAGCAUGUAAAUGCUGUAUGAUUGUGUUAAGAUCAUUAUUAGCCCAAGGCUGUUGAUCGUCUCUCUCUCCAUAGUAGAAGUUUACUCUGAGAGGCGCGUUUAAUUCUCCUUUAGUGAAAAUCUUCAUCUUGGGACAACCAAUUAUAGAUAAAUCUUCCAAAGAUGGGAAUUUGAAGGUGUAAUUGGCAGAGCAGAAACUUGUGAGACUAUCCAAAUCAUACAGAUACAAAAUCUUCAAUUUGGUGAAAACAAUCUCUUCUUCAAAAUUUGCUGCUCCAUCUUCGUCAUUUAUCACCACCUCUCUCAUUGCUCUGCAUCCAUAUACCAACAUUGAUAAGAGUCGCUGUAGAGUUUGGAGUGACAGAUUCGAUAAUGAUCAACUCCAAAUACUGGCCAAGAUCGCAAAUCAAACAACCAAGAUGCAAAAAGAAUCAAUCCAGAACAAAUCACAGAGAAACUUAAGAACCGAAAAGAAUUAAAGAAUUAGCAGCAAAGACAAAAGAAUUAACAGAUUUUGACAAUAAUGUACAUUUAGAAUUUCAAGGCAUUGAACAAAGGAGUCCAAUUUGGAGUCUUGUUUCCACAAUUGCUUCAGAUGAUUAAAUUUGUGCAGAUCUAAAUGUUUUAUCAUUGUAAACUUCCUCACAUGUUUCUUCAAGUAUCCUCCAUUCGAAAAUACCUCUUCGCAUGAACAACGACGCCGUAUGAGAGUUUCCAGAUUAUGAAAUCUCUCAAGUAAAUCAAGUGGAAAACAAGUUGAGUCAUCAUCCACUGUUUGUAGUAGUUUAAGACUGCCAAAAAGGUGUUGUGGGAAAUCGCUCUGCAAAGUCAUCCUCGAGUCUUUUCCACUUAAUGCCAGUUGGGUAAGCUCUGAUCAUCAUCAAUCACGUAAUAACUUAUUAAGUCAAUUCAUAUUCUCUCAAAUAACUUUUAAUAAUCCAAUCAUACACAGUGACUUUAAUAUAAAUCAUAAUAAUUUACAAAAAAGAAGAAAAAAUCGAAUUAGAGGUAAAAGUUAUUCUACGAUUUUAUUUUUUAUAUAUAUCUUGCAUGCUAUUCCCAAAAGCAAUCCCAAACGACCCUUAAAGCAAUUUUACAAAAGCGGCCCGUACAUGUAUUGCCAACUUUGUUAGGAAUGGCAAUGGGAAGGGGAGGGGAAGAGACCGACCUCCCCGUACCCAUUCUCGAUAUUCUGUAUAUAUCCCUGGCCUCUUCCCAUUCACAAAAUUGCUUUAGGGAAUCCCCCUCCCCUCCCUAAAUAAUAAUAGGGGAUCCUUAAAGGUCCUCGAUUCUCGAAUAACUGAUACGUUUUUAGUUUUAAAUUUUAAUUUAAUCAUAUUAAAAUAAAAAAUAAAAAUAAAAAUAAAGUUUGACGAUAUAUCUUACAUUAACAUUAAUCUAUUACAAAAGUCACAUUACAAAGUAUAAAUCACCAUAAUAAUUAUCUUCGGCAAUCUUCAAAAUCAUAUAAUAAAAAAAAAGAAAUUACUUUUAUAUCAACAAUGAGAUAAAUGAAAUGAAUAUAGAUACUUAAUCAAUAUUUCUAAUAAAAGUAUUUACCUCUUGUGUCUCCUACUCUUCUUGUUCUUCCUCAAGGAAUGUGACAAAUUGAGAGAUAGCCUCAGAUUUCAAAUUUAAAACAACAAAAAUAAUAUAAGUAAUGUAAAUUCUAAGUGAAAAUAUUAAUAAUUAUAUAAUAUAAUUACAAUGUAAAAUAAACUCAUACUGCCAUUGUAAGCUUGUAGUCAACUUUGACAACAUAUUAAAGCCUCCAAUGUGCUUGAAUAAAGCGUGUUACGGUACUCUACCACUGGUGCUAAAAGCUAAUUCAGAAGCAACAUUUGUAAUUAGAAUUGCCAAAAUAUCUCUAGCAAUUCAUGCCAGUAUAGGAUAUCUAUAGACAUUUAUUUUACACCAACUCAAAAUAUUAAAAUCUUUCAUCCUAAGCAUAACUUUCUCAUCCAAAUAUUAAUGUAGUCAAUUAGGCCUAAAUUUUAAUAAUAUAAUUAUUUUAUUUUUUUUUAUUUAUACUAAUAUUUAAUAUUUUAUUAUUUAUUUACAAAUAAUUUUAAAAAAUAAAAUUAAAUCAAAAAAUUAGAAGAGAAUAGGGAUUCUGCCGAUCCCCGUUCUUUCUCUGAAUAAGAAAUUAGGUAAAAAAACUAUCUCCGUCUCCUUUUCAAAUAAAAAAUUAAGUAAAAAAUUAUGUACCCACCUGAAUUGGGAAAAUCUCGAGGGUCAUGUCCCCGCGGCAAUAUCUGCCAUUCCUAAACUUGUAACAGCCAGUUGCUUUUGUGACCGUUUAUGUGACGGCUAGACUGCUCUCACUUAUGUUACUAACCACGUGACGGUAGAGAGUGACGGUAGAGAGUGACGGUAGAGUUAUAAAUUUGUUUCUAAAUAGAAAACUAUUUGCUGGAGUCAAUAUUUUGAAGACCAAAGUCCCAAAUUCUCUCUCGUGCCUGGCCAGCAUCCUAAACCUUACUGGUAGCCGGAGAAUGGCGUAAAACGGCAGCGAUCUUCUUCUUCAUCUUAUUCUCUCUCUUCGUUUCAGGUAAGCUUGUGAUUAUGAGUUUCCUCUCUUUCUUAGCUUGUAAUUAUAGGUUUUGAUUUCUUUAAUUCGUAUUGUAACCAUUAAUGUCAAUUUUUGUCCCGCCGGCAAUAUUUCUUGUUCCUAGAAGUUGAAGCCCUUCUGUUCUUGUUCCAUUGGUGACUUUGCUCACUCAAAUUAAUUUUGUUCUGCGGAAUUUACAAAGUUCAAAUGGAUUCAUUUGGAUUACUAUUGAAUUUAGCUUUAAUUCCAACAUCCAUUCUAAUGUUUUGGCAUUAGAUUUAGUUUAAUUUUAUGUUUAAAGCUUCUACAAUGAAUAGCGGAGCUUGGGUUUUAGUUUCAUUUUCUAAUUAACUUGUUUUAGUUUAUCUUAUAUGCUCGCCAAGUGCUUGUUAUAUUGUCUGAUAAGUUAUAUAACAUUGCUGAUUCUAUAUUAGUAAUGUCAUGUUCCAUUUACGGAAAUUAUAACACAAAAGUUUUUACAAUGGCUUGCAUCUACAAACUGAAUUGACUUGUAGAGUAAGAGCUUGGAUUAGUGUUAUGUUCUUGAAUAAAUGAAAGUUCAUAUUGUGUAAGAGCAUGUAGAUGUAAAGCAUCACUACCAUUUCUACAAACUGCUUUCAUUCUGUUCAGAUGCUCCUCUUGAACUUUGAAAGGUGCCUCAUUCAAGUCCUAGCUAUAACUAAUAGCUCUGAUUGCUUAAGUUCCUGUGCUAGCUGAAACAGAUUUAUUUAAUUAAUUAAUUGUGUAUGUACUAAUUAUAUUGAAAGUAUAUGAAGAAAUUGUUUAACAUGAAUGACUUCUAAAUGACUUAAAAGCCUAAAGGAUAUGUCAAAUAAUGCUCAUUUCACUUGAACGAGCCUAAUACUUUUAUGUCUAUGAUUGUCAAUCUUGCUUAAGUGUUUCAGUUAAGUGGUUUACCUAACAGGGAAAAAAAUUUAAUGGAAAACUUUAGAGUUCUAACAGAAAUAUAGUUGACUGCAGAUAUAGUUAUUUUACAGUACAUAAAUCAUAUUGUCCUAUUCUCAAUGUCCUGCGACCUAUUUUAUUUUAUAUGGUCAUUCAUUUUUGCGAUGGUUUUUUGUGCUUAUGAGUAUGGAAAUAGUGGGAUUUGGUGUGGCAAACAAAAAUAUACAUAUAAUCAAGUUUCUUAAUCAUGUAUAUUGGUUUUGGGUAUGAAUGUUUUCCUAUUCUAGUUCUAGGCAAAGUUUCUUCAUUUUGGUCUUCAGAUUUCCAGUAGGUUAAGUUAAGCAACUAUCAUAACUAGCUAGCUAGUUAUUGCCUGCCUUGUCGCCAUUACCGACGCCAUUGCAUUGCAUGGCAUAAGGAAUAGUAACUAGGUGAUUAUUGGUGAUUCCUUGAGUUUAUUAUUGGCCAAACAAACAUAUUCUCCUUUACCCACAACUUAGUUUGAUUAGUUAUUAGAUAAUAAAGAGCCUUAAUCUAUGCAUUGCUUUAUUAUUUUUAUUUGGUUUUUCUUUCAACAAUAUUGUUGAUUUCUUAUAAAAAAUAUUCAUUGGUUUUUAAACACCUAAUCAUUGGCUAUAAUGAAGCUAAUUAAAACUGAGGCUUUGGAUCAAUUUCUGUUAACAACACACAAAUGAGCAUAACCACCCCCUCCCCCCCCCCCCCCCACCACCACCACCAAAAAAAAAAAAACAAAUAGUAAGACUUUGCAAGAUUCACAACCAGGUUACAUUUAAUUUAUUAAUUGUGUGUACGUACUAGUUAUUUGUUGAUAGAAUAGGAAGAAGUAUUUUAAUAUGAAUGACUUAAAACUUAUUGCUCAGUAAACAUAAUGUGCAUCAGUGCUAGAAAAUGUAUUUGUUGUUUGUAAUUUUUUAUGGUUUUGCUUAAGAAAUGAAAUGUGAAAAAAUGCUACAUUUUAUUAGGAAUAAAUUGAAGAGAUUUAUGAUUUUUAUGUGUUAUUCAAGUUUCAGAUUCAAUUUUAAACUUUUGAUACAUGCAUUGAAAGCUUAAACUCCUUUAAGAAAUUAUUAAUAGACACAUGUUUUAUUAGUGUCAUCUUUUGGAUGAUAGUGAGGAUCUUAUGUCUAUUAAUAAUUCUUGAAUUAUCUAGGCUUGGACAGUUUGGUAAUGCAUAGAUUUCUAUGGUAGCUAGUGCCUGAAAUUUUUUUCCCACGUAAAAAUGGGUUUUUCAGCAGCUGCUCCUCAUGUUCUCUGGGUGCAUACUAGACAAAUGGGUGUCAUGUGUUGUUUUGGCAUAACACAUAAACAUUCAUAUAUCUAUGUCGUGUACUUGAAGAACUAUAGGGAGAUGCUUCCGAAGUUUCUAUAAACGUAGAGGAAAACUUUAGAUACUUAAGAUUGAAGAAACUUAUGCAUUCUUGAGUGGGAUAUAUAGGACCACUUACCUUUUGUAAAUAUGAAGGGAAUGUUGGAUAUAUUGAUGGGAGUGGAGGAGCUGAGUGGGAUGAAUGUAAUCGGUUAUGAUUUUGCUGAGUCGACUUGGUUUUGAGUCUUGUAAUUUUGUUUAUAAAUGGAGUACUAUCUCCAAUGUUGGUUUAUAAAUAUGUUUCAGCUGGCUGACCUAAUUUUUUGUUUCUAGGUAACAGGCUUUAUAUAUCUGUAAUUGAUAGCCAAGUGAAGUUCUCAGCAGUGGGUGAGGAUAUUUCUUUACAGAAGGUAUUGCAAACUGUUUUUUAGAUUAAUUAUUAUUGUAUCUACUUUAAUUUUCACAUCUUUUUCUCUAAUUCUUGUGGCUUUGCUUGCUUCCAUAUAUAUAAAACCAUAAAAUUGUAUAAUAAUUUUUUUUAUUAUAUUGCGAAACUGCGCACACAUGAAAAUAUCUUGUUUAGUAGUAGAAAUGAAGAAUUAAAGUGAUUUAUUUAACUAAUUUUUCUAGUGCAUUAAAAGGACAUAGUCAUGGACCAGAGUUGGGUUGGUUUGCCAAAUAGAUAUCCAAUUCAUAUAAAAUUUAUAGAUUUUGCAUUUGAGAAUGUUGUUGGUGAUAAAAGAAUUUAUUGUCCUUCUAAGAAGUGUCGUAAUAUCGAUAUUUCCUUAUAAGGAAAGUGGCAAGAGACCAUAUCAUUAUAAAUGGCUAUUGGUUAAAGUAUUAAAACUGGAUAUUGGAGGGUGAGCCAUCUUCAUCUUUGAAAUCUAACUAAGAAACAGGUUAGUCAUGACUCGGGUAGUGAUGCUAGUAUGGUUGGAAUGAUGCAUAAUGCAUCACAUAAUCAAAUGUUCAAGUCACACGCAGCAUUGUUAUGGACUAUCUCCGACUUUCUAGCAUAUGCCAACUUGUUUGGGUGGAGUAUUAAAGGUAAAUAAGCAUUUCUUGUUUGCCAACAAAACACUAGAUCUAAUUGGUUGAUACAUAGUAGAAAAUUGUCACGUGGGUCACCGUCGAUUUUUACCAACAAAUCAUAGGUUCCGAAAAUAUAGUGCCAUCUGAUAAAACUAGAGAGUGGGGACAAGCACCUUCUCGGUUGUCUGGAGCCGAGGUGAAAAAAUGUACUUACUGAGUAUAAGAUUGAAGACUUGAAAAGAGGAGAAAAGAGGAGAAUGAAUAAAAUGAAAGAAAUGAUAAGAUUACUUGGAAGAAGAAAAGCAUUUUUUAUGAACUAACGUAUUGGGAGUUCAAUUUGAUUCAUCAUAAUCUUGAUGUCAUGCGCCGUUUUGAUUUUUGUUAUGAACUCAGAUCAAAAGUUUAAUGUGAUCAAAAUUUCUUAAAAAUCGUGAAAACGACUCUUACACUGUCAACGCUGUCAAUGUAGUGAUACAAUGAAGAUGAAGUAAAGCAUUAGUAGAAUAAUGAAGUUGACCAGUAACACAGUAAAGCAAAUUUUAUUCCAGAGCAUGAAAACUUUUAAACAGUAACACAGCUCUUAUUCACACGAGUGACCUGAAUCUUCUUCAGAACUUUCAAAAUCCUUGCCUUCCUAAGUUAGGAAAGAUAGACGUGGAGCAAACCAAGUGAAAUAAAUGAGUAAACAGAACAAGCAGGGCAAAAAUUAAAAAUGAUGGCAAUUAACAAAUUAAUAGCAAUGUUACAUUUGACUCUUUAGCCCUUUGCUCCUUCUCUUAGCAUUCUUCAAAGCUUUUGAAAAUUGGAUGUGAAGCAAACAAAAUAAAAUAAAUUUAGACAACACAUACCCUGUAUUCAGCAUCAUAUAUAUGUCGAAUAUCUAAUAUGAUAAGAGUAUACGCAAGUCCAAGUGAGAAGCAAAACCCAACAACAAAUAUGACGAAUAUGCAUGGGCACAUGCAAGCAACCAUGCAAGCCAAUAACGAAAAUGUAUGGGCACAUGCAAGUAACAUGCAAGCCAUGCAUGAGGUGGGCAUCACGUUCCUUCAAGGACUCUUCACAAAAUCAACGGAAAGCUUACUACGUCAAGUCGUAUUGAUGAAGAAUUCAGAUUUAAUCAUGAUUCCUUUAAGAUUAUUAUUUACUUCGAAAUUAUAGCUAAGUGGUUUAAUUGAUUUUAACUACUUUAUUUCAUUAAUUUUGUUCUAUAAAUAGACUCGAAUAAUUCAAUAAAAAGAUAUCAGACUUUUAUCUAAUUCAAUUAGCAAUUGCGGUAGUUCUCACCCUAAGAAGAACAAAUUAUUUACUUGUUGUUUCCGCUAAUUCUGACUGGGACCUAUCAUAAUAUAAUAAAUUUCACAUCCAAAAUACUAGAAUUUCAAACAGUACUAGUAGUAAAAAAAUGACGACAACAACAAAAAUAGAAAAUUACAAGACUGCUGAUAAAAUUUCAUUUGCGUGCAUGUCUGACAAAAUUUCCGUGGUUUAAUGUGCGUUCAUGCAAGCAAGUCCUAACGUUUCUGUGAUCACAAAAUGAAACUGAAGAUAAAACAGAACAACUACCAAACCUUUCAGGCUCUGAUACCAAGUUAAAGUUUCUAAUCUGUUUGAUAAGUAAGAAAAUGAGAGAAAAUGAAAGAAAGAACAGAGAUCAUCUAAGAGCUGGAUUUGAUGAAUAAAUCUGAAUCAUCCAUUCUUUAGCUGAUUACAAAUGUAUUUAUACAAGGUUUCUAAGCACCUGAGAGUUGAAUAACUUAUGCCAGCUNNNNNNNNNNNNNNNNNNNNNNNNNNNNNNNNNNNNNNNNNNNNNNNNNNNNNNNNNNNNNNNNNNNNNNNNNAAAAAAAAGAAUAUAUAAGUUUGUGUAUUUUUUUGAAUCAUAAUCAAAUGGGUAAAUGUUGCAACUAUUUUUUUAGACAUUUUCACUUUGGGAUGUCAGCCCGAGGAAGUUCGGGGGUCUGAGUUAUUCAACUGAAAAUGUCGGCCAAGUUCUUGUGUUAGUUUUAGUAUAUUGUGUAAAAAUGAUACACUAACUUGAAUUUAUAUGCUUUUAUGACUAUUUGAUAAUCAAAUGGGUAAAUGACACGAAGAACUUUGAGUUUAAAGAUCUGGCCCUGAUGCCUAGUAGCCCUCCAACCCAUGAAGCACUAGAUGUUUUAAUGAGAAAACGACAAGACCAUUUAUCAAAUUUCUUGUGGAUAUAAAUACAUACACAUAGACGAGACCAACCUCCUCAAAUGAGAAUCAGAGUGAUUACAAGACCUUGCAAUGAGACAAUAAUACACCAUCAAAUCUCAAAAUACAAUAGAAAUUCAUGACAUAUAUAUAAUAAAAGACCUCUCAUUGAGUCAUAUAUAUUGAGAAUAAAAUUUUUUUAAUACAUACAAAGAGCUUAUCUAGAAUGAAAUGUAAACUUUUUUAAUACAUACAAUGAUCAAACAAAGGAAACAGACAGGUUGCAACUCACACUAUCACAGAUGUAGCGACACGAUGCAGUGAAUCACAAGAAGAUCACGAAGAUGGAAACGGGAACCCCUCAGAAUGUAAACUUUGAAUAGAGGAAAAAAGAAAAACGACCUUAUUUCAAAUUGCGCACAGAAGAAGAGUGACUUAAAUCGUCAUCAGUAUCCA